rnacentral:rRNA from 1 species
AGUGAACGCUGGCGGUAGGCCUAACACAUGCAAGUCGAACGGCAGCACAGUAAGAGCUUGCUCUUACGGGUGGCGAGUGGCGGACGGGUGAGGAAUAUAUCGGAAUCUACUUUUUCGUGGGGGAUAACGUAGGGAAACUUACUCUAAUACCGCAUACGACCUACGGGUGAAAGCAUGGGAUCUUCGGACCUUGCGCGAUUGAAUGAGCCGAUUUCGGAUUAGCUAGUUGGCGGGGUAAAGGCCCACCAAGGCGCCGAUCCGUAGCUGGUCUGAGAGGAUGAUCAGCCACACUGGAACUGGGACACGGUCCAGACUCCUACGGGAGGCAGCAGUGGGGAAUAUUGGACAAUGGGGGCAAGCCUGGUCCAGCCAUACCGCGUGGGUGAAGAAGGCCUUCGGGUUGUAAAGCCCUUUUGUUGGGAAAGAAAAGCAGCAGGUUAAUACCCCGCUGUUCUGACGGUACCCAAAGAAUAAGCACCGGCUAACUUCGUG